rnacentral:rRNA from 1 species
GACGAACGCUGGCGGCGUGCCUAAUACAUGCAAGUCGAACGCAGUGGGGACGGGUGAGUAACACGUGGGUAACCUCCCAUCAGAGGGGAUAACACUUGGAAACAGGUGCUAAACCGAUACUGAUGGAUGAACCCGCGGUGCAUUAGCUAGUUGGGGAGGUAACGGCUCACCAAGGCCACGAUGCAUAGCAGACUGUAGAGGGGGGUCGGCCACACGGGGCCUGGGACACGGCCAAGACUCCUACGUGAGGCAGCAGAAGGGAAUCGUAGGCAAUGGACGAAAGUCUGACCGAGCAACGCCGCGUGAGUGAAGAAGGUGUUCGGAGCGUAAAACUCUGUUGUUAGAGAAGCGGUAUCUAACCAGAAAGCCACGGCUAACUACGUGCCAGCAGCCGCGGUAAUUC